CUGACGAGUGGCGGACGGGUGAGUAAUGUCUGGGAAACUGCCUGAUGGAGGGGGAUAACUACUGGAAACGGUAGCUAAUACCGCAUAACGUCGCAAGACCAAAGAGGGGGACCUUCGGGCCUCUUGCCAUCGGAUGUGCCCAGAUGGGAUUAGCUUGUUGGUGGGGCAACGGCCCACCAAGGCGACGAUCAGUAGCCGGACUGAGAGGUUGACCGGCCACAUUGGGACUGAGACACGGCCCAGACUCCUACGGGAGGCAGCAUG
rnacentral:rRNA from 1 species